rnacentral:rRNA from 1 species
UACGUAGGGUGCGAGCGUUAAUCGGAAUUACUGGGCGUAAAGGGUGCGCAGGCGGAUAAGUAAGUUAGAUGUGAAAGCCCCGAGCUUAACUUGGGAAUUGCAUUUAAAACUACUUAUCUAGAGUUUGUCAGAGGGGGGUGGAAUUCCACGUGUAGCAGUGAAAUGCGUAGAUAUGUGGAGGAACACCAAAGGCGAAGGCAGCCCCCUGGGAUAAAACUGACGCUCAGGCACGAAAGCGUGGGUAGCAAACAGG